GAUGAAGAACGUAGCGAAAUGCGAUAAGUAAUGUGAAUUGCAGAAUUCAGUGAAUCAUCGAAUCUUUGAACGCACAUUACGCCCGCCAGUAUUCUGGCGGGCAUGCCUGUUCGAGCGUCAUUUCAACCAUCAAGCCCCCGGCUUGUGUUGGGGACCUGCGGCUGCCGCAGGCCCUGAAAAGCAGUGGCGGGCUCGCUGUCACACCGAGCGUAGUAGCAUACAUCUCGCUCUGGGCGUGCUGCGGGUUCCGGCCGUUAAACCACCUUCAUAACCCAAGGUUGACCUCGGAUCAGGUAGGAAGACCCGCUGAACUUAAGCAUAUCAAUAAGCGGAGGA
rnacentral:misc_RNA from 1 species